CACCGAGCAAAAGACGAGGAAGACACGCAUGACGCGCUCGUCGCUCAAUCUCAUGUUCGUUUCGAGCGCACGAGCCGAGCGUGUGGUGGGAAAGGACGCCGACCAGCAACAUGGAGACGUGGAAUUGGACGCUUACUCAAACAUCCAGAGGUCGCCAACUUUUCCAAGACAUUUCUUGCAGACUCCAGUCUCACCUUCUGUGAUGUGUUCACCAUCGACAGUGGAACAAGGUUGGUCUAUUUUAGUAU